rnacentral:rRNA from 1 species
UACGUAGGGUGCAGGCGUUAAUCGGAAUUACUGGGCGUAAAGCGUGCGCAGGCGGUUUGCUAAGACAGGUGUGAAAUCCCCGGGCUUAACCUGGGAACUGCAUUGGUGACUGGCGGGCUAGAGUAUGGCAGAGGGGGGUAGAAUUCCACGUGUAGCAGUGAAAUGCGUAGAGAUGUGGAGGAAUACCGAUGGCGAAGGCAGCCCCCUGGGCCAAUACUGACGCUCAUGCACGAAAGCGUGGGGAGCAAACAGG